rnacentral:rRNA from 1 species
ACGAACGCUGGCGGCGUGCUUAACCCAUGCCAGUCGAACGGAAAGGCCCUGCUUUUGUGGGGUGCUCGAGUGGCGAACGGGUGAGUAACACGUGAGUAACCUGCCCUUGACUUUGGGAUAACUUCAGGAAACUGGGGCUAAUACCGGAUAGGAGCUCCUGCUGCAUGGUGGGGGUUGGAAAGUUUCGGCGGUGGGGGAUGGACUCGCGGCUUAUCAGCUUGUUGGUGGGGUAGUGGCUUACCAAGGCUUUGACGGGUAGCCGGCCUGAGAGGGUGACCGGCCACAUUGGGACUGAGAUACGGCCCAGACUCCUACGGGAGGCAGCAGUGGGGAAUAUUGCACAAUGGGCGGAAGCCUGAUGCAGCAACGCCGCGUGCGGGAUGACGGCCUUCGGGUUGUAAACCGCUUUCGCCUGUGACGAAGCGUGAGUGACGGUAAUGGGUAAAGAAGCACCGGCUAACUACGUG